GCCGGCUUAGUGAAGUGGUUAACACGUCAGUUUCCGGUUUCACCGAUUAGCUGAAGAUCACGAGUUCGAAUCUCGUAGUCGGUU